rnacentral:rRNA from 1 species
UACAGAGGGUGCGAGCGUUAAUCGGAAUUACUGGGCGUAAAGCGCGCGUAGGCGGCUUUGCAAGUCGGGUGUGAAAUCCCUUGGCUCAACUGAGGAAGUGCACCCGAAACUGAGUAGCUGGAGUACGAAAGAGGGUCGCGGAAUUCCCGGUGUAGAGGUGAAAUUCGUAGAUAUCGGGAGGAACACCGGUGGCGAAGGCGGCGACCUGGGUCGAUACUGACGCUGGAGCGCGAAAGCGUGGGGAGCAAACAGG